GACGAACGCUGGCGGCGUGCUUAACACAUGCAAGUCGAACGAAGAGCGAUGGAAGCUUGCUUCUCUCAAUCUUAGUGGCGAACGGGUGAGUAACGCGUAAUCAACCUGCCCUUCAGAGGGGGACAACAGUUGGAAACGACUGCUAAUACCGCAUACGAUCUAACCUCGGCAUCGAGGAAAGAUGAAAGGUGGCCUCUAUGUAUAAGCUAUCACUGAAGGAGGGGAUUGCGUCUGAUUAGCUAGUUGGAGGGGUAACGGCCCACCAAGGCGAUGAUCAGUAGCCGGUCUGAGAGGAUGAACGGCCACAUUGGGACUGAGACACGGCCCAGACUCCUACGGGAGGCAGCAGUGGGGAAUCUUCCGCAAUGGACGAAAGUCUGACGGAGCAACGCCGCGUGAGUGAUGACGGCCUUCGGGUUGUAAAGCUCUGUUAAUCGGGACGAAACGCCUUCUUGCGAAUAGUGAGAAGGAUUGACGGUACCGGAAUAGAAAGCCACGGCUAACUACGUG
rnacentral:rRNA from 1 species